ACGAGUUAGGGUCUUUAAAUAGGCUCGACCUCCCAACCCUUUGUCUACUCGACCCAUGUUGCUUCGGCGAGCCCGUCUCUCUCGGGGGACCGCCGGGGGACUUUUACGUCCUCUGGCCCGCGCUCGUCGGUGGCCAACCUACAAAUUCUUAAUUAAACGUGUCUUAUCUGAGUACUAUUUUUUAAUUAAAAGCA
rnacentral:misc_RNA from 1 species